UGCAAGUCGUACGCGUUGGCCCAACCGAUUUGAAGUGCUUGCACGGAUCUGACGUUGGUUUACCAACGAGUGGCGGACGGGUGAGUAACACGUAGGUAACCUGCCCAGAAGCGGGGGACAACACUUGGAAACAGGUGCUAAUACCGCAUAACAAUUCAAAUCGCAUGAUUUGAAUUUGAAAGAUGGUUUUGGCUAUCACUUCUGGAUGGACCUGCGGCGCAUUAGCUUGUUGGUGGGGUAACGGCCUACCAAGGCAGUGAUGCGUAGCCGAAUUGAGAGACUGAUCGGCCACAAUGGGACUGAGACACGGCCCAUACUCCUACGGGAGGCAGCAGUAGGGAAUCUUCCACAAUGGGCGCAAGCCUGAUGGAGCAACACCGCGUGAGUGAAGAAGGUUUUCGGAUCGUAAAGCUCUGUUGUUGAAGAAGAACGUGCAUGAGAGUAACUGUUCAUGCAGUGACGGUAUUCAACCAGAAAGUCACGGCUAACUACGUGCCAGCAGCCGCGGUAAUACGUAGGUGGCAAGCGUUAUCCGGAUUUAUUGGGCGUAAAGAGAGUGCAGGCGGUUUCUUAAGUCUGAUGUGAAAGCCUUCGGCUCAACCGAAGAAGUGCAUCGGAAACUGGGGAACUUGAGUACAGAAGAGGGCAGUGGAACUCCAUGUGUAGCGGUGGAAUGCGUAGAUAUAUGGAAGAACACCAGUGGCGAAGGCGGCUGCCUGGUCUGUAACUGACGCUGAGACUCGAAAGCAUGGGUAGCGAACAGGAUUAGAUACCCUGGUAGUCCAUGCCGUAAACGAUGAGUGCUAGGUGUUGGAGGGUUUCCGCCCUUCAGUGCCGGAGCUAACGCAUUAAGCACUCCGCCUGGGGAGUACGACCGCAAGGUUGAAACUCAAAGGAAUUGACGGGGGCCCGCACAAGCGGUGGAGCAUGUGGUUUAAUUCGAAGCUACGCGAAGAACCUUACCAGGUCUUGACAUCUUGCGCCAACCCUAGAGAUAGGGCGUUUCCUUCGGGAACGCAAUGACAGGUGGUGCAUGGUCGUCGUCAGCUCGUGUCGUGAGAUGUUGGGUUAAGUCCCGCAACGAGCGCAACCCUUGUUACUAGUUGCCAGCAUUAAGUUGGGCACUCUAGUGAGACUGCCGGUGACAAACCGGAGGAAGGUGGGGACGACGUCAGAUCAUCAUGCCCCUUACGACCUGGGCUACACACGUGCUACAAUGGACGGUACAACGAGCAGCGAACUCGCGAGGGCAAGCAAAUCUCUUAAAACCGUUCUCAGUUCGAAUUGCAGGCUGCAACUCGCCUGCAUGAAGUCGGAAUCGCUAGUAAUCGCGGAUCAGCAUGCCGCGGUGAAUACGUUCCCGGGCCUUGUACACACCGCCCGUCACACCAUGAGAGUUUGUAACACCCAAAGUCGGUGGGGUAACCUUUGGAG
rnacentral:rRNA from 1 species